AGCUUCCAGUGUGGUUCUGUUUAGUGCAUCAAGCUGAUGGAUGGGGAAAAGGCAAGGCUUGGAGAAAAUGGAAAUUUCACAUGUCAGACCUGCAACACCUAUGAAACAGAAGGAAACGUCAGCUUGGAAGAUGAGCAGAGGUGUGGCAGUUCAAGACACAGGAGAUGAAAUUCUGAGGGCCUGGUGGAGAAGGAAUGAGAGCAGGGA